GCCGGAGUGGCGGAAUGGCAGACGCACAUGGUUCAGAGCCAUGCGUCCGCAAGGACAUGAGGGUUCGAGUCCCUCCUCCGGCA
rnacentral:tRNA from 1 species